rnacentral:tRNA from 3 species
AAACUUUUAGUUUAUUUAGAAUAUCUUACUUACAAUAAGGAGGAUGAAAGUUUU